CAACUACUCCCUCUGUCCCAAAUUUCUUGUCUUAGAUUUGUCUAGAUACGGAUGUAUCUAAUACUAAAAUGUGACUUGAUACAUCCGUAUCUAGACAAAUCUAAGACAAAAAAUUUGGGACGGAGGGAGUACUUU
rnacentral:pre_miRNA from 1 species